UGACCGCUGGCGGCGUGCCUAAUACAUGCAAGUCGAGCGAACGGACGAGAAGCUUGCUUUUCUGAUGUUAGCGGCGGACGGGUGAGUAACACGUGGAUAACCUACCUAUAAGACUGGGAUAACUUCGGGAAACCGGAGCUAAUACCGGAUAAUAUUUUGAACCGCAUGGUUCAAAAGUGAAAGACGGUCUUGCUGUCACUUAUAGAUGGAUCCGCGCUGCAUUAGCUAGUUGGUAAGGUAACGGCUUACCAAGGCAACGAUGCAUAGCCGACCUGAGAGGGUGAUCGGCCACACUGGAACUGAGACACGGUCCAGACUCCUACGGGAGGCAGCAGUAGGGAAUCUUCCGCAAUGGGCGAAAGCCUGACGGAGCAACGCCGCGUGAGUGAUGAAGGUCUUCGGAUCGUAAAACUCUGUUAUUAGGGAAGAACAUAUGUGUAAGUAACUGUGCACAUCUUGACGGUACCUAAUCAGAAAGCCACGGCUAACUACGUG
rnacentral:rRNA from 1 species